CCUACGGGAGGCAGCAGUGGGGAAUAUUGGGCAAUGGGCGCAAGCCUGACCCAGCAACGCCGCGUGAAGGAAGAAGGCUCUCGGGUUGUAAACUUCUUUUCUCAGGGACGAAGCAAGUGACGGUACCUGAGGAAUAAGCCACGGCUAACUACGGGCCAGCAGCCGCGGGAAUACGGAGGUGGCAAGCGUUAUCCGGAUUUACUGGGUGUAAAGGGUGUGUAGGCGGGAAAGCAAGUCAGAUGUGAAAACCAUGGGCUCAACCUGUGGCCUGCAUUUGAAACUGUUUUUCUUGAGUACUGGAGAGGUAGACGGAAUUCCUAGUGUAGCGGUGAAAUGCGUAGAUAUUAGGAGGAACACCAGUGGCGAAGGCGGACUGCUGGACAGCAACUGACGCUGAGGCGCGAAAGCGUGGGGAGCAAACAGGAUUAGAUACCCGGGUAGUC
rnacentral:rRNA from 1 species